AGCAGUAGCUGAGUGGUAGGGCUCCCGCUUCGUAAGCAGGAAGACCUGGGUUCGGUUCCCGGCUGCU
rfam:Toxocara canis scaffold371, whole genome shotgun sequence.